rnacentral:rRNA from 1 species
UACGGAGGAUGCAAGCGUUAUCCGGAAUGAUUGGGCGUAAAGCGUCCGCAGGUGGCUGUGUAAGUCUGCUGUCAAAGAGCAAAGCUCAACUUUGUAAAGGCAGUGGAAACUGCACGGCUAGAGUGCGUUCGGGGCAGAGGGAAUUCCUGGUGUAGCGGUGAAAUGCGUAGAGAUCAGGAAGAACACCGGUGGCGAAGGCGCUCUGCUAGGCCGCAACUGACACUGAGGGACGAAAGCUAGGGGAGCGAAUGGG